rnacentral:rRNA from 1 species
UACGGGGGGGGCAAGCGUUGUUCGGAAUUACUGGGCGUAACGGGCUUGUAGGUGGCCAACUAAGUCAGACGUGAAAUCCCUCGGCUUAACCGGGGAACUGCGUCUGAUACUGGAUGGCUUGAGUGUGGGAGAGGGAUGCGGAAUUCCAGGUGUAGCGGUGAAAUGCGUAGAUAUCGUAAGGAAGACCAGUGGCGAAGGCGGGUCUCUGGACAGUUCCUGACGCUGAGGCACGAAGGCCAGGGGAGCAAACGGG